rnacentral:rRNA from 1 species
UACGUAGGGGGCAAGCGUUGUUCGGAAUGACUGGGCGUAAAGGGUGCGUAGGCGGUGUAGCAAGUUAGAAGUGAAAUACCUAGAGCUUAACUCAGGUGCUGCUUCUAAAACUGCUAUACUUGAGUGCAGUGGAGGAAAGUGGAAUUCCUAGUGUAGCGGUGGAAUGCGUAGAUAUUAGGAGGAACAUCAGUGGCGAAGGCGACUUUCUGGACUGUAACUGACGCUGAGGCACGAAAGUGUGGGGAGCAAACAGG